rnacentral:rRNA from 1 species
GCAGUCGAACGGCAGCACGGGGGCAACCCUGGUGGCGAGUGGCGAACGGGUGAGUAACAUAUCGGAACGUGCCCUGGAGUGGGGGAUAACUAGUCGAAAGAUUAGCUAAUACCGCAUACGAUCUACGGAUGAAAGUGGGGGAUCGCAAGACCUCAUGCUCGUGGAGCGGCCGAUAUCUGAUUAGCUAGUUGGUGGGGUAAAGGCCUACCAAGGCAUCGAUCAGUAGCUGGUCUGAGAGGACGACCAGCCACACUGGGACUGAGACACGGCCCAGACUCCUACGGGAGGCAGCAGUGGGGAAUUUUGGACAAUGGGCGCAAGCCUGAUCCAGCAAUGCCGCGUGAGUGAAGAAGGCCUUCGGGUUGUAAAGCUCUUUUGUCAGGGAAGAAACGGUUCGGGUUAAUACCUUGGGCUAAUGACGGUACCUGAAGAAUAAGCACCGGCUAACUACGUGCCAGCAGCCGCGGUAAUACGUAGGGUGCAAGCGUUAAUCGGAAUUACUGGGCGUAAAGCGUGCGCAGGCGGUUGUGCAAGACAGAUGUGAAAUCCCCGGGCUCAACCUGGGAAUUGCAUUUGUGACUGUACGGCUAGAGUGUGUCAGAGGGGGGUAGAAUUCCACGUGUAGCAGUGAAAUGCGUAGAGAUGUGGAGGAAUACCGAUGGCGAAGGCAGCCCCCUGGGAUAACACUGACGCUCAUGCACGAAAGCGUGGGGAGCAAACAGGANUAGAUACCCUGGNAGUCCACGCCCUANACGAUGUCUACUAGUUGUCGGGUCUUUAUUGACUUGGUAACGCAGCUAACGCGUGAAGUANACCGCCUGGGGAGUACGGUCGCAAGAUUAAAACUCAAAGGAAUUGACGGGGACCCGCACAAGCGGUGGAUGAUGUGGAUUNNUUCGAUGCACGCGAAAACCUUACCUACCCNUG